GCCAGCAGCCAUAUCGCCCUGCAGCCCAAGACUGGUUGCCCACUGAAGCUAAGCAGGGUUGAAUCUGGUCUGUACCUGGAUGGGAGACCUCCUGGGGAAAACUAGGUUGCUGCUGGAA
rnacentral:rRNA from 1 species